rnacentral:lncRNA from 10 species
GCCUCCCAAAGUGCUGGGAUUACAGGCGUGAGCCACUCGUGCCCGGCCUGCAACUUUAGAAAACAGUUUGGUAGUGUCUUUAAAAACUAAGCGUACACAUAUGAGCCAGCCAUUCCACUCCUGCGUAUUUAUCUAAAAGAAAGCAUACAUUUACACAGCCUUGUCUUACAAAUAUUCAUAGCAGCUUUAUUUCCUGUCUUAUUCAUUUAGAACUACUGUAACAAAAUAUCGUAGACUGGGUGGUUUAAACAACAUAAGUUUCUCACAGUUCUGGAAGCCGGA